AGAAAUGCCCCCUGCUACAUGAAGUGAUGCUCAAUCCGUGAGUGGCCAUGUGUCCGACAGCCGCUUCUCCUACCAUGGCCCCCUUCCGGCCCUGAGCGUUUCUAGAUGUGUCCUCCUCAUUGAUGUCCAAAUGGCUUUAUGGCAGGACUGCAGGAUUAGUAAGAGAGUGCCCGACAGCCGCUUCUCCGACCAUGGCCCCCUCCCGCCUCCCGGGCAUUUCUUGAUGUUUCCAUCUCAUUGAUGUCCCUUUAUGGCAGGACUGGAAAAGUAAG